UGGGGAAUAUUGCACAAUGGGCGCAAGCCUGAUGCAGCCAUGCCGCGUGUAUGAAGAAGGCCUUCGGGUUGUAAAGUACUUUCAGCGAGGAGGAAGGCGGUAAGGUUAAUAACCUUAUCGAUUGACGUUACUCGCAGAAGAAGCACCGGCUAACUCCGUGCCAGCAGCCGCGGUAAUACGAAGGGUGCAAGCGUUAAUCGGAAUUACUGGGCGUAAAGCGCACGCAGGCGGUCUGUCAAGUCGGAUGUGAAAUCCCCGGGCUCAACCUGGGAACUGCAUUCGAAACUGGCAGGCUAGAGUCUUGUAGAGGGGGGUAGAAUUCCAGGUGUAGCGGUGAAAUGCGUAGAGAUCUGGAGGAAUACCGGUGGCGAAGGCGGCCCCCUGGACAAAGACUGACGCUCAGGUGCGAAAGCGUGGGGAGCAAACA
rnacentral:rRNA from 1 species